GAUGAACGCUAGCGGGAGGCCUAACACAUGCCAGCCGAGCGGUAUUUGUUCUUCGGAACAGAGAGAGCGGCGCACGGGUGCGGAACACGUGUGCAACCUGCCUUUAUCUGGGGGAUAGCCUUUCGAAAGGAAGAUUAAUACCCCAUAAUAUAUUGAGUGGCAUCAUUUGAUAUUGAAAACUCCGGUGGAUAGAGAUGGGCACGCGCAAGAUUAGAUAGUUGGUGAGGUAACGGCUCACCAAGUCAAUGAUCUUUAGGGGGCCUGAGAGGGUGAUCCCCCACACUGGUACUGAGACACGGACCAGACUCCUACGGGAGGCAGCAGUGAGGAAUAUUGGACAAUGGGUUAGCGCCUGAUCCAGCCAUCCCGCGUGAAGGACGACGGCCCUAUGGGUUGUAAACUUCUUUUGGAUAGGGAUAAACCUACUCUCGUGAGAGUAGCUGAAGGUACUAUACGAAUAAGCACCGGCUAACUCCGUG
rnacentral:rRNA from 1 species